UCCGAAGGGGGCUAGCGUUGCUCGGAAUCACUGGGCGUAAAGGGUGCGUAGGCGGGUCUUUAAGUCAGGGGUGAAAUCCUGGAGCUCAACUCCAGAACUGCCUUUGAUACUGAAGAUCUUGAGUUCGGGAGAGGUGAGUGGAACUGCGAGUGUAGAGGUGAAAUUCGUAGAUAUUCGCAAGAACACCAGUGGCGAAGGCGGCCAACUGGACCACAACUGACGCUGAGGCGCGAAAGCGUGGGGAGCAAACAGG
rnacentral:rRNA from 1 species